rnacentral:rRNA from 1 species
GACGAACGCUGGCGGCGUGCUUAACACAUGCCAGUCGAACGGAAAGGCCCUGCUCUUGUGGGGUGCUCGAGUGGCGAACGGGUGAGUAACACGUGAGUAACCUGCCCUUGACUUUGGGAUAACUUCAGGAAACUGGGGCUAAUACCGGAUAGGAGCUCCUGCUGCAUGGUGGGGGUUGGAAAGUUUCGGCGGUUGGGGAUGGACUCGCGGCUUAUCAGCUUGUUGGUGGGGUAGUGGCUUACCAAGGCUUUGACGGGUAGCCGGCCUGAGAGGGGGACCGGCCACAUUGGGACUGAGAUACGGCCCAGACUGCUACGGGAGGCAACAGUGGGGAAUAUUGCACAAUGGGCGGAAGCCUGAUGCAGCAACGCCGCGUGCGGGAUGACGGCCUUCGGGUUGUAAACCGCUUUCGCCUGUGACGAAGCGUGAGUGACGGUAAUGGGUAAAGAAGCACCGGCUAACUACGUG